rnacentral:rRNA from 1 species
UACGUAGGUGGCAAGCGUUGUCCGGAUUUACUGGGCGUAAAGAGCGCGCAGGCGGUCGUGCAAGUCGCGUGUGAAAGCCCCCGGCUCAACUGGGGAGGGUCACGCGAUACUGUUCGACUUGAAGGCAGGAGAGGGAAGUGGAAUUCCCGGUGUAGUGGUGAAAUGCGUAGAUAUCGGGAGGAACACCUGUGGCGAAAGCGGCGCACUGGACCACAACUGACGCUGAGGCGCGAAAGCUAGGGGAGCAAACAGG